GUCGGACUGGCACAGGAAAUACCAGACACUGGAUCACGUAUGCAGUGACUGCCGACCCAUAGGCUGAGUGAACUACAGUCAAUGUCGGCCUGUUUCGGGUGGAGCUAAGAACAGGAUGGGGAAACCAGUAUGAAGGGAUGAAGUGAUGUGCUACCCAUGGUCCCCAGGAGCAGAGCUGGGAAUAGAAUACAGGUCUGCUGAAGCCAAGUUCAGUGCUCUAGUCACUAGGCCUCGCUGCCUCCCAUAUGGCUGCUGCUAUAGGAAAUCAAAGUGGAACCUGAUGGAACUGUCUCCCCCAUUCCAGGUGAGUGCUCCAACACUGGGCUGAAAGCCAUAAGAUGGAGAACUGAGGAACAAAGACAUUAAGUGACUUGGCCAAGGUCACACCAGGAAUCUGUGACAGAACCAGAACCCAGAUCCAGAGCUAAGACCAUUCAUGUGGAAUCAUUCAAACCCUCGCCCUCUGCAGAUGAAGCUAAUGAGAUAUUUGUUCUGGGCUUUUCUAUCAAGGAGACAGUGAUUCCUAGUAGACAGAGCACUAGCCUGGACUUUAGGAGACCUGGGUUCUAGCCCCAGUGCUGCCACUAGCCUCCUUGGCUAGUUUCCAUCUGUAAAAUGGGAAUAAUAAUACUGACCUUCUUUGUAAAGUACUUUGAGUUCUACUGAAAUGAAAAGGGCUCAGUGCUGUUAUUGCACCAUAAAGUCUGGCUCCAUUUUGCUUCCCUAUCUAAUUUCCCCAUUAUUUAUCAUGUGCCCAUCGCCCUGGUGUCUGGGCACCUGGUAUCCCCACUUUACAGAGGCUGUGAGCAGGAGCGUACCCAUGGCUGACAGGGUUUUUGUGGCUGCAUGCUCAGGAGGAGGGGGAGCAGCGAAGGAGCUGAAAAAGAGAAGCAUUAGAAGGGACUUGAUAGAGACGUUUAAGAUUGCAGAGAGUGGGAUGAAAACUGAUAGUUUUCUGCUUUUUCCCUUGUCCAGUAAUGCAAGAACAAGGGGUCACCACAUGAAAUUAACAACCAGUAAAUUUCGAACCAAUAAAAGGCCGUUCAUCUUCCAACCAUGUGCAGCCAGGCUGGGUGAUUCAUUGCCACAGCAGGUCAGAGAGUCAAACGCUGCAGCUGGAUUUAUAAAAUGUCAGGCUAACGU